rnacentral:rRNA from 1 species
UACGAAGGGGGCUAGCGUUGCUCGGAAUCACUGGGCGUAAAGCGCACGUAGGCGGAUUUCUAAGUCAGGGGUGAAAUCCUGGAGCUCAACUCCAGAACUGCCUUUGAUACUGGGAGUCUCGAGUCCGGGAGAGGUGAGUGGAACUGCGAGUGUAGAGGUGAAAUUCGUAGAUAUUUGCAAGAACACCAGUGGCGAAGGCGGCUCACUGGCCCGGUACUGACGCUGAGGUGCGAAAGCGUGGGGAGAAAACAGG